GGCUAAUACAUGCAAGUCGAGCGAGCAAUUUUAACAGAAGGCCUUCGGGCUGGAAGCUAAAAGCGCGAGCGGCGGAUGGGUGAGUAACACGUGGGCAACCUGCCCUUUAGCUUGGGAUACCACUUGGAAACGGGUGCUAAUACCAAAUAAGAAGCAAGAGCGCAUGCUCAAGCUAUGAAAGGCGGCUUUCGAGCUGUCACUAAAGGAUGGGCCCGCGGUGCAUUAGCUAGUUGGUAAGGUAACGGCUUACCAAGGCAAUGAUGCAUAGCCGAGUUGAGAGACUGAUCGGCCACAUUGGGACUGAGACACGGCCCAAACUCCUACGGGAGGCAGCAGUAGGGAAUCUUCCACAAUGGACGCAAGUCUGAUGGAGCAACGCCGCGUGAGUGAAGAAGGUUUUCGGAUCGUAAAGCUCUGUUGUUGGUGAAGAAGGAUGUGAAUAGUAACUGAUUCAUAUUUGACGGUAAUCAACCAGAAAGUCACGGCUAACUACGUGCCAGCAGCCGCGGUAAUACGUAGGUGGCAAGCGUUGUCCGGAUUUAUUGGGCGUAAAGCGAACGCAGGCGGGAGAACAAGUCAGCUGUGAAAGCCCUCGGCUUAACCGGGGAAGUGCAGCUGAAACUGUUUUUCUUGAGUGCAGAAGAGGAGAGUGGAACUCCAUGUGUAGCGGUGGAAUGCGUAGAUAUAUGGAAGAACACCAGUGGCGAANGCGGCUCUCUGGUCUGUAACUGACGCUGAGUUCGAAAGCAUGGGUAGCGAACAGGAUUAGAUACCCUGGUAGUCCAUGCCGUAAAACGAUGAGUGCUAAGUGUUGGGAGGUUUCCGCCUCUCAGUGCUGCAGCUACGCAUUAAGCACUCCGCCUGGGCGAGUACGACCGCAAGUUAAAACUCAAAGAAUUGACGGGGCCCGCACAAGCAGCUGGAGCAUGUGUUUAAUUCGAGCAACGAAUAACCCUACCGGUCUUCGACAUGCUAGCCAGUCAGAAUAGGACUUCCCUCGGGACUAGACGGGCAUGUCUCAGCUCAGAACCGACACAGCGCAC
rnacentral:rRNA from 1 species